UUUUGGUGUCUCAGCUCCCCUCCACUGCCUCUGCUCCUUCCUUUCCUUCUUUUCUCUGCUUUCUCCCUCCUCCUCCUCCCCUAACCCUGAGCGGCGGGGCGAGGUUUAAGGGGUGACGAGGUGGUGGAGGCGGAGGUGAAGCGGCGGCGGCGGCGGCGCUCAUGCCGCCCAUGCUCGUCGGGCAGCGGGAGCCGGGUUUUGGGAUGGGCGGGUUAAGCCAGGCCGAGGCUCGGCAACCGGGGCGGGCCCCUUCAGGGCUCGCGGUUCUCCUCCGCCGCCUCCCGGCCCCUCUAGCCUAGCCGCCCCCGCGCCCGGCCUCAUCGUAACCCGCUACCGGCGAAGUAUCCUACGUCGAAAUGAGGCGGCCGCCGGCGAAUCAGACGACGACGACGACAACGGCGAAGACGAAGCCUCACGCGACGGCACUAGGGUUGUCCUCGGACCCGACCACGCCCAACCCGACUGCACAACAACAACGACGACAACAACCCGUGAACUAGAGACGCCCGCGAAACGCGGACGGACAACCCUCCACCAGCGCACUCCGCUUACCUCCUCUGACCCUCCCUCUCCUUCCGCCGCCCCGGCGGCGGCACCCGCGGCUGGUUCAGGUGCCACAAGGCCAGGAUGCGACGACGCCACCACCCGCUGGCCCGCCUCCGCGGCAGGCGGGCCCCGUUACCCCAACGGCGGGCAAGUUCGUUAGAUGCGCGGCAGUCCUUCUCCGGAUAACAACGUUCUAACUGGUCUCUGUAGCAGGUUUGAAAACUUUUUACGUUAGGACUCAAAUUAAUGCAUCUAAGUGAUUUAGGGUUCGUGAAGGAGUGGUGAGGACGUCAAGGACAAGUAUUACUACCGGAACUAUUACGUUUAAGACUGGAUUAGAACAUACAGUUGAACCUUAACCAAUUAUUCUUCAGUCUGGCCUCCAUGUAACAGCUUCUUUACGAACCGGUUCCAUGGAAACCCGUCCAACGAUUUACGACCCUACGUCUUUGGUUGUCAAUACAACGUCACUUCCAAUAUUUUUUGGUCGGACGGAAAAUAGUCGUCCGAUAGUACCUUCAGAGUAACAACUCGUACGAUUUACUGUUUAAACUAGGACUACUAGUCGUGGUGUAACAGUCCUACGACCUAAAAAAAGGUACCUUUUUAGUAAACACGUAGUGUAAACUUUACGAACCAGUAUUGGACAUGCUCGACAACUUUUUCUUGUUGAAUUCUCCAAACGUUGACGUUAAACAGGCAUGAAAGAGUUCUGUCUAUAACCUACGUAACUAACAGUACUUUCCACGACCUUAAUAAGUAACACUAGAUUUUGGCCUUUUAUAGGAGUAUUGUGGUUUUCAUUUGAGUCGUCGACCUCAAUUUCAUUAACUAAAACCUAGUCGCACGUACCUCCCAUUUUGCUAAAUGAGUAUAUAGGUCUCGGCAAUAAUGUCCAGUGGACUUCACGAAGAACCGAUAGGUAUGUGAUGGCGGUAACUAUACACCAGUAAACCGACGUAUCAACGACUUGAAAUAUAUCCAGAUGGAAAUAAAGGGCCUCGUAGUCUUAUGCUACAGGAAUCGGCAUACUAACUCUACCAGCCACCCGUUGGCGGUCUACUAGAAGAAUCCCUCCGAUUUUUGUGGUCCUUCAAAAAAUUUGUACGACCUUCGUAAAUAGGACCAUUACUUCGUGUACUACCAGAAGCGUCAAGUAUGUCUUAUGAUUGUCUUCUGCUCCAACUUCGUUCCCUAAGGUUUUUCGGUUUUUAUCCCUUUACCAUAAAGGGAGCACCCUCCGAACUGUCUGAGUAUAAGAGCAUGGGAACCUUCUUAAAUUUACUCCCAUUAGACGGUCUCCGACUUUUCCUUCUAACGAAUCGUAACCAACUAAAAAACUCUCCUGAACAACUCAAACUAGGAUUAUUCGCUACCAGUGGUAACGUCCGAAGUAUAGUAGGUAAGUAUUGACCACUUCGGAAGUGACCAGGAAUACUCGGAAAGGCCCUCUGGGGUCAUUAAGGGCAACCAGCACGACGUUGUCAACUAGUGUUAGGACCUCCUCCAGUGACCGAUCGACGACCGGAAAGGGGAGUCCAACAACCCUCGUAAUUGUCUAGGGAUGGUAAGUUAUUGCAAAAAGGCGGUUUCUACGGGAAAAGUAUACCUUCGUCGACGCCGUCGAAGUCAUCGGCACCAUCGAAAUUACUAUUGCAUCCAGGACGUUCGUCGAUGCCUUCGAUACUACAGUUAUUACAAUUGUACAUAGUAAGUGGUGAUCCGGGAAGACCCAAGUUAAAUGUCAGUGUUCGGCCUCCUUGUAAAGAUCCUAAAUCAGGUCUAUAAUCUUCUUCCGGAGUAGAGAGAGUACCACAACCGUAAGCCGAUUCAGGACCACCAGGUCCAGGAUACAGAGAACCCCGGUCAGGUAGUGUUAAAUGAGGAGGUUUAAGGGUUUGUGUUUACGGUCGAUCGCGAUGACGAUUCAUACAACGGUGAAGAGGACGUUCCCCGUCAGUACCGAGGAGUAAUCCUUUUCGGCGACACCAUCCGGUUAUGUUAUCCUCUUCCUUAGAACCAGUGGGAGGAUACAGUUACGGUGGUGUACUCAUGUGUAGAGUCGAUUAGGUCCCUGGAGUACCUCUACCACAGUCAAGUCGUAAACGAGCUCCUGUAAGACCGAUAAGUAUACCACGUGAAGGAUUAAGACCAGUAAUAUUAACCUCCGGCGUCUAUCCACAAUCGUGACCAAAUAGGUGUUCGAGAAGAAGGUUAGUACCAAUACAAGUUGGUAGACCAAUGUUACUAAAGGCAGGAAACGUGAGUAGGUUACACGGUCGACUAUGUAGUUGGAGGUGAAGUAGUCAUGGUCUAGGUCGACUGACCCUAGGGUUGAUAUCGCUACUCAGUGAGGACGUUCUUCUAUUAAGUGAUAGUCGACUCAAUCCGUCACAAGUGGACUCUCUACGUUCACCAGCUUGUUAGGUCAGACCGUCUAACGGGUUAUAGGUUUCGGUACUAUAACGUCCGAGCUUAGUUUCUCUCUCACCGGUAAGUUGUCCGGUGCAGUUGAUACUAUCAAUGUUGGUACGGUUGAUAAGGGUCGCUUUAAAGGGACCAGCAGUGCCUGUUGGUAAAGUCGCCAUGUUGGUAUACUUAAGUUGGAGAUAUGCGGGCUGCCCCUUAGAGGUCUUACAAGUUAGACGGACCAGGUUUAUACCGUACGGUCUAAGAUGAAGCGGGGGAGCCUACCAACUUCCCUACGGAACCCCUCCUUCGCGACCAGUGAGAGAACGUUGUUCGCCCGACGGCGGCAGGAAACCUUCCUUCCUGAAGCCCUCCUAGAAAAUCGGGAACAGAACCUAGACCUCCUUACGGUAGGUUAACUACCGCAUUUUAACAAACACAAACGUUAAGAAACAACGCGACCAAUGCACGACAACUAAAACGCUGAGUAUCGCAAGGAGGCUAACAACAGGACAACACCAUGAGCCUAAGUACUUCGAUAUCCGAUAUUAAUGUCGUCAAGAAACCACCAACAACGAAGUCAAAGAAAAUGCCAAGAAACAGUAACACCCAACGGUCAAAAAAAGGUACACUCUUCAACACGACGGUACUUCUACCAAUGACUAACAACGCGACGUGACCACGACGGAACAAUAUAAAUCUGUACGACCCACCGCUACCUCGAACCACAGAUGCCAGCGUGUACGAACCAAACCCCCUCUACUUGGUCUCGACCCCCUAUUUAACGUCCACCUAGAGCUCAUGUCGCUUGCUUUAUAAUCAUAAGGGAGGGAAACAAGGUUUUAUGAACAGCACUAACCAAAAUCAAGUUUAAACCUUGUCUCCCUCAUACGUCAUCGCCUCGAAGUGCCCCGGUUUCCCCCCGUAACGAGGGGAUGAGAUCCUUUGAUAAUUCACAUGGGGAUUAAUAAUCCGAACUUAUAGUUUACAAAAA
rnacentral:rRNA from 1 species